rnacentral:lncRNA from 1 species
CCCUGCAGGGUGAAGAAAUAAGAAUGUGAGAAGAGAAGAGAAGAGACUGCUGAGACCAGACAAUUUAAAAGCGCAAGUCUCUUGCUUCUAGCUGUUGUGGCAGCUCUCUGAAUUAAAACUGAGCUUAAAUGAAGCUGCUGGGAAGAAAUGCAGGUCAAGCCUAGGAAGUCAUAACCCUGAGAGUGAAAUGUUGUGUUGCUGGGGCAGCUGUAUGGUGCCUCCUGGAGCCAGGGACCAUUGAUCCUGAAUAUUCCAGUCUGGAUAAAGGAACAGCAAGCUGCUCUGUUGAAUGGAUUUCUCCAUGAGGUUAUUUUGCAGGUCAGGAGGUUAGCUCACUUUUGUCUUUUUACUCAGCUGCUGCAGAAGAAAUCCUCUGUGUGUUCUCCUGAAUUGUAAAGGCUGGUAAGAAAGAGAAGCCAAAGUCAUCCAUUAAUCCACAGGCAAAGUCCUAUUGAAGCUGCUGCAGUGAAAGCUCUCACACGCUGCCCUGGAAAUAACCCCGGCCGUGACGUGGUG